CUAAUCUGCGCUGGUGCACUUGCCUAUGGAAUCAAAGAGGCCACUUAUACAGUGGAGGGCAGUCAGCGAGCGAUCAUCUUCAACAGAAUUGGUGGAAUGCAGUUGGACACUGUCCUGUCUGUGGGGCUACACUUCAGGAUACCAUGGUUUCAGUACCCCAUUAUAUAUGAUACCACACAAAACCACACAAGAUUUCCUCUUUGACUGGAAGUAAAGGUAUAUAUUAUUCCAGUGGUGUCAUUUAUUAGCUUUAUUCUGAUAAAGCCAAGCAUUCGUCUGAUCAUCGCAUACCUGUCUUGUAAUUAAAGGAAUACACCAGUGUCUUUAUAUAGAGCAUCAUGUAGUUCAUAAGCAGUUACUAUGGACAUAAACUUCGAUGAAUUAAUUAUACAGAUUUAGAGCUUAAUUUUCUAUAAUACCUCUCAAUUGAAAAUUCGUGAUUGUUCUGAAAAAUAUUUGUUUGCAUAAAAGAAUAUUGACUCAAACAGUCUAACAUACUUCCAUUGUUGGUGGGUUUUCAGUUCUUUGCUCAGUAUAGUGCAAAGCAUGGUGUUUUUUUUAAUCUGUGAUAAUUAUACAUUUGUGUAUGAUUGUAGCUAAGAAAACUGUGUAUUCCUUUGAAGAUCUCUGACAGUUGGUUGAUUACUCAUUAAAUACAUCCAUCCAUCCAUUACUGGUAUAGCGUGUGGUUGAACUUUUAACAUUAAAUCAUAUACUAGUCAUUUAUCAGCUAAUAAAACUAAUGUGACCUCCUUGAGGACAGAUCGCAUGUAAAAGAUUAUUUAAAAGGGUGUUUUUUUCUAAAAAUGUCAUAUUUACAUGUAUAUACAUUUAUGCAACUAGGUUGUUGCAAGGGGUUUUUUUCCCUCCUAUUUUCCUAUCAUUGUAUAUUCACUAUAACAUAUAUUUUGUCUUCAUUUUGGUUGUGUUUUGUGUGUGAUCAGAUGGUGAACAUUGUGCUGCAACCUUCCCCACAUGUACCAGCAUCUGGGGAAGGACUAUGAUGAACAUGUCCUUCCUUCCAUAGUCAAUGAGGUCUUAAAGAGUGUUGUAGCCAAAUUCAAUGCCUCACAGCUCAUAACGCAAAGAGUUCAGGUAAGGCGAUGUUCUAAACACACCCGCACUAAUUUCCAGCAGUGCCUGACCUGAACUAGCGUAUGAUCUUCUGGAUCAUAAGACGGAGCUUGAUUAGCCAGUUAGCCAACUGUUCGCUUUAUCUUUGUAGGUGCAAGUUUCUAUCAGACAAAUCCUGAAUAUCCUGAGUGCAUCCAGAUUAAAUUAGACAUGGUUUAUGUUUAAAUUAUAGUUUUAUUUGAAUUCUGACCGAUAGGCAAAAAGACACUCGAGUUAUCAUUAGAGGAUUAACUUUGUUCUGAAAAACUUAUAAAAUGUGGCCAAUUCACACUAUAUCAAAUAAAACAGAGUCUAUAAAGUAAUAAAACUGAUGAUAUAUGCUUUUGUUUACAUGCAACUAGAUGUUUCAAUACCUUUGGUAAGCAGUUUCCUACUCAAGUAUUUGCUGAGAUGAUGAAAAGUUUUGUGGGAGACACUUCACAGGGGUCAUCAGGUGGGCACCUCCCUUCUCAGAUGUUUUGUUGAUUUAAGGCCAUUCAGGGGUUACAGCUAAUAUCACACAAAUGUGUCGGCCUACUGCAAACUUACGUUGUUUUUUAGUGAACAUGGCAGAAGGAAAAUGAAGUUAAACCAAGAAUGACGCAAUCUCAUAGGCUGAUUAAAUUGCGCAUUAUAAUGUCAGCUAGAGCCGGUGUAGGGCUUCACUUUCACAUAUAUACCACAAAAAUAUUAGUAGUUUUCUCUAAAUAACUUUGUGUUACAUAAUGUCAUUGCGUUGCUGUGAAACUCACUGGUGUAGUGUUCAUUUAGAGCUGUGUGGGUUAAUCAUAGACGUAGUAUUUUAUUACAGAGACACUAAACACAGAGAAUAGGUCAUUGUUAUUAAAGUGUCAUUGUUAUUUAGUGGGAUCACAUGUAAUUGUGUGAGUUAGUAAUGAUAAGAAAAAAAAAAGAACAAGAUGUGGGAAAUGUUCACUCUGACAUUGCUUUCAGUCCCAGUUGUUUAGUUAUUUGUUUACUUCAGCCAUGAAUUUCAUGUAGAGGUAUCUGACCCUACCUGUACUCUCUGAGAUCAGGUUUCAUUUCUGAUUUGUUGGGAGCUGUUUGAACGUGCUAAAACAUCAUCCUUGAUGACGUAGCCAUCACAGAGCUGAGCUUCAGCAAAGAGUACACAGCAGCUGUAGAGGCCAAACAAGUUGGAAGCACAGUGAGCUCAGUUCUUUGUGGACAAAGCUAAGCAGGACCAAGCUGAAGGAGAGGCCCAAGCAGCCAAAAUGAUUGUCACUAAACAAAAAGAAGUAAGCUGUCCAGAAAACGUUUUCAUUCUGUGUUUAUGAGGUUGUGUGUGCAGUGACCUCUACUUCACUGCAGGGAUCACGUUCUUCAGCUGCCACUUUCUGUGUUUCCGAGGAAUUAAUCCAGUAAUCACUUUUAAAUUCAUUACACACAUUUGUCAGUACAAAUUCAACAAGAUUUUUUUUAAUGAAGUUCACUCUUGGUUCUUUUAGAUCAUUGUCAACUGUAUAUUGCAGUUCUAUGCAACACAGAGAUCUUUUAUGAAAUUCAGUUUAAUGCCCCCACCCCACCACCACUUUGCUGCCAUCAAAUGUAUCAUAGUAAUAUUCAUAUGAUCACAAUCCACCAAUUUUCUAAAAAUUACCCAAUGUCUUCACUGUAACCCUGUGAGACUUAAUCAUGAAAGGACAGCGAAAUAAAACCUUUUUGUGUUCAAAAUGUCA